CCCAGACUCCUACGGGAGGCAGCAGUGGGGGAUAUUGCACAAUGGGGGAAACCCUGAUGCAGCGACGCCGCGUGGGCGAAGAAGUAUUUCGGUAUGUAAAGCCCUAUCAGCAGGGAAGAAGAAAUGACGGUACCUGAGUAAGAAGCACCGGCUAAAUACGUGCCAGCAGCCGCGGUAAUACGUAUGGUGCAAGCGUUAUCCGGAUUUACUGGGUGUAAAGGGGGCGCAGACGGCAGCGCAAGCCAGGAGUGAAAGCCCGGGGCCCAACCCCGGGACUGCUCUUGGAACUGCGCGGCUGGAGUGCAGGAGGGGCAGGCGGAAUUCCUGGUGUAGCGGUGAAAUGCGUAGAUAUCAGGAGGAACACCGGUGGCGAAGGCGGCCUGCUGGACUGCGACUGACGUUGAGGCCCGAAAGCGUGGGGAGCAAACAGGAUUAGAUACCCCAGUA
rnacentral:rRNA from 1 species